GACGAACGCUGGCGGCGUGCCUAAUACAUGCAAGUGGGACGCAAGAGAACACACUGUGCUUGCACACCGUGUUUUCUUGAGUCGCGAACGGGUGAGUAACGCGUAGGUAACCUGCCUAUUAGCGGGGGAUAACUAUUGGAAACGAUAGCUAAUACCGCAUAAUAUUAAUUAUUGCCUGAUAAUUGAUUGAAAGAUGCAAGCGCAUCACUAGUAGAUGGACCUUCGUUGUAUUAGCUGGUUGGUAAGGUAAGAGCUUACCAAGGCGACGAUACAUAGCCGACCUGAGAGGGUGAUCGGCCACACUGGGACUGAGACACGGCCCAGACUCCUACGGGAGGCAGCAGUAGGGAAUCUUCGGCAAUGGACGAAAGUCUGACCGAGCAACGCCGCGUGAGUGAAGAAGGUUUUCGGAUCGUAAAGCUCUGUUGUAAGUCAAGAACGUGUGUGAGAGUGGAAAGUUCACACAGUGACGGUAGCUUACCAGAAAGGGACGGCUAACUACGUGCCAGCAGCCGCCGUAA
rnacentral:rRNA from 1 species